AAUUCAAACUUCCUGUUUGACAUGUUUUGUCACAGAAUGAAUACUGGAUGAUUCAACCUAUCCUGGUUUCAUUUUGUGAUAGUGUGUCUGCUAUACAGGUCAGUGUUUGUUGGACACGGGAGGGGUGUCGGCUGGCUGGCACUAACUUGCGCAGCUAUGAAGAGAAAUCCAGCACAGUCCUGAGAGAGGAGGGAAACUCCAGCAUUUCUUCACUUCACAGAACAAAAAUAAGGAGGAAAAAGGACAGUGGAAAAGGAAAACCCUGGGAACGAGGAAAGGCUGUUUUGGAGGGAGAAAGACAGAGAAAAGAAUGCUUCAGAAUGUGAAAUAACCUGGAGGACAUUAUUCUACUACAGUUCGACUAAUGGGUCUGGGAUUCUAAUGUGGCAUUUCAGGCUCUGGGAUGUACAAGAUGUUGCUGUGUUUCUCAGCAUCGCACUUUAUAUGUGUCACCUAGCUGGAGCCAUCUCCAUCCAUUCUCCCCAGAAGAGCCUCACCAGGUCAGUGCAGGAGGAUGUGUUUUUCUCGGUGGAUAUUACCUGCGAUGGGAUCCCCACCAUACAAUGGACCUUUAUGUCAGGAGCGGUGAGCCGCACCAUAGGGACAUGGCAGCCGGGGUUGUACACUAACAUAACGGUGGAUUACAGUAGCAGAGUGCAGCACUACAACAAUGGCUCUAUGGGCCUGUCAGACCUGCGCCUGGCAGAUGCUGGAUACUACCAGGUCACUGUCACAGAAACAGCAGGAAGCAGCAAGGAUGCUGGCUUUGUCCUGAAAGUGAACGAGGUGCUGUAUGAGGACCUUCAGUACCUGUCUGUCUCUGCCUUGGCACUGGCCUGUUUGACUGGCCUUCUCAUGCUGGUAAUGUGGCUACUGGACAAGGUCUACAGGAAGAUCGUGGCAUGGAAACGCAGGAAAGAGAUGCCAGAAAAUGAUGCAACAGAGCUGCAGCCUCUUUGAUGGACGUCUAACUGUGCAUCAUACCAGGCAUGAAAACACACCAGAGACUGUUCAUCAAACUCUGCAACAAGGACUAGUUUUUUUAAAUCAAUCAUCAGAACUUGAAUCAAGCUUUGGAAAAACUUUUAGAAUUAUGCAGCAGGUAGUCCCGUCUCAGACUUUAGAUGAAGUGAUAAUAGAUGGAGAAACAAAUUACUACUUUUCAGGUCUUGAGAUUAACGUUUUCAAAAAGCAACAACUCAAAAAAACAAAGGACUGUUGAUUUUAAAAAAGUGAUUCCAUAGGAUUGUGAUAUUUUAAACCCGUUGGAUGGUAGAACUAAAACCUCACUCAUCAUG